GGCAGAGGAAAUGGUGUCUUUGAACUGUAGUCUGUAGUCCUAGAAAUUGAAUAAACUAUUUCCUAAAUAGAGGUAAGAGACUAGGAUCCUAGCAACUUCUCUAAGUUAACAAAAGGGGAAAAAUAUCCCCAUACCAUUUUUCUCUUCAUUCUAUUAAUGAGGGCUAGAGUCGUUUCAUAGAUUGAAUAGUUUCAAGAGCAUAUUGAGAAGUGCCUGGCUAACAGCUGAAAGUCUGCCAUUUCAUGCAACUUUGUUAGGCUUUAGAAGUGAAGCAGGAACAUAGAGAAAAUACAGCUUCUCCCACCCACAAUGUGUAUUUUAAACCAUUUCUUCUGGCCCAGAAGACAAACUUUUCCAAAUAUCUUGGAAAAACCUCAGUUUCUACUCUUUGGAGACAAGAGUCUCACUCUAACACCCAGGCUGGAGUGCAAUGGCGCAAUCUCAACUCACUGCAACCCCUGCUCUCAGGUUCAAGUGGUUCUCCUGCCUCAGCCUCGUGAGUAGCACUCGACACCACACCUGGCUAAUUUUUUUGUGUUUUUUGUAGAGAUGGGGUUUCGCGUGUUGGUCAGGCUGGUCUUGAUCUCUGGCCACCUCAGCCUCCCAAAGUGCUGGUAUUACAGGUGUGAGCCACUGCGUCUAGCCAAGUUUCUACUGUUGAUGCCUGCCAUGGACUAUUACAAGCACCUGGCAGUGACAUUGCACGAGUUCUAAAGAAAGACUUGGUCUUUCCCACAGGGACAUUAAUGUGAAAGAGGUCCAGUGACAAAGAUUCAGUCACUUUUGCAGACCCUCACAAGCCACAAUAAUGAAGUUGCAGUGAAUUUGGGACAUAGCCUUCCCUCCCCAAAAUUCUUGAUCCAAGAAUCCACCCGUCAAGUUCAAUGACUCAGACUCCAUUUCUAGUGUGGUCGUUGGUUAACAACUUUACUAGUUUCCAUCCAGGCUUAACCUUUCUAUGGACCAUAAUGUCUUGGUGUCUGCUGCAUUUAUUGUCCCUCCCUGUUUUAAGGAUACUUCAAAGUCGUCCCCAUUGUCCCUCCUGGGGGAAAUUACCUCAAACCACAGGGUAGUCUGCUAAAUAACCAGCUAGAGCUAGCUGCCAGCCCAACUUUGCCCAGAUCUACAAUAUUAUUCUCGUUAGUUUACUCAUCCCCCCAAACUUAGCUUUCCCCCAGAACUUUAUAUCCACUCUCCAUAAAAGCUUCUGUAGCACCAGCUUGGUCAGUCCCAAGGUCCCAGGUGCCACUGGGGUCUGGUUGACAAAAUUGUUGGUAUGGUUUGGCUGUUUCUCCACCCAAAUCUCAUCUGUAAUUGUAAUCCUCAUAAUCCCCGUCCCCAUGUUGAGGGAGGGACUCAGUGGGAGGUGACUGGAUCAUGGGGGCAGUUUCCCCUAUGCUGUUAUUGUGAGAGUUCUCAUGAGAUCUGAUGGCUUUAUGAGGGGCUCUUCCCCCUUUGCGUCCUACACAAACCCUGUCUCACCUGCUGCCACGUAAAACGUGCCUGCUUCAUUUUCUGCCAUGAUUUCAAGUUUCCUGAGGCCUCCCCAGCCAUGCAGAACUGUCAAACAAGAUCCUUUAUAAAUUACCCAGUCUUGGGGAGGUUUUAUACAGCAGUAUGAAAGCAGCCUAAACAGUUGUUUUCAUACGUGCUGGAAAUGCUGUGAUCUGCCCUGCCAUUGUCCCCAUCCUGGACUGACCCUCAGUAUUUUUCCUUUGAGUGGUGACCCAGCUCUUUGCCUUGAGCAGCAGGAGUAGCCCUUGGUAGAAUCUAGUUCCCCAGGGGAAAUCAAAGCAGCUUUAUCUUCUCACUGUUAGCCAAGCACCUCUGGAGACAGCCUUAGUGUUUGCUCUUUUAUCCCCUCUCACCUGGGAAUACAAUUGCCCCUGCAACAUAAUGGCCCUACUGUUCCCUCACCAACUCCCCCAGCAUGGGGAUCAGAAAUAUGGCAGUACUCCUCAGUGAAGUAUAUGCUGCUUUGUUUUAAGCACUCACCUGAAUGUGUAAGGACAUCUUUCCUCAAGAGCUUCUCACUUCCUGAGGAGUGUGUAGUCUUCAUUCAAAUGUCUUGAUGGCUUAUUUUCCAGAAAUCUCUGUAGGUCUUGAGAAGCAUUGUCCUAGCUUUGGUUUAUCUGAAUAGUCCUAUUUAAACUUGUCCCACACAGAUAGCAGCCUCUUGCUUGCCCUUCUGUUUGUACACUUGUCUAUUUUCUCUUUCUUUAAAUGCCUUUUGGGUGUUAAUACUUCAUUGGUGGUUCCAUAGCCUUGUCCCCCUUUCUUUUGCAACUUGAAGGCAAUUCUCAGUUCUCUUCUUGAGCACAUUCAUACUUAGCAGCUUCUGAAUAUCCCACCCACAAUUAAGGUACAAUCUGGUCACAUAACUUUUUCCCUAGGAAGAAAUGUGCUACUCAAGACUAAUAGCCAAGGUUAAGAACGUGCAUACUCCUGUAUCGGAUGUAAAUGCAUUAGUCUAUUUGUUCUGUUUAGAAAUAAAGAUGGAACAUAUUUUAUAGCUACUGUUAGUGCCCAUGUGCCUUCUAAAUAUCUUUUGAAUAGUUUUACUUCUCUCCAUCUUGACAGCUACCAUGCCAAUCCAAGCUUCCAUCACCUUGCUCCUGGCUUACUGCAGUAUCCUCCUGUCUACCCUUCAUCCACUUUUAUCUCUUUCCAAUCACUUGUUCAUACAACAGCCAUAUUGGGUUUUUUUCAAAACACACAUAUAAUUAGGGCACUUCUCAACUUAAAACCAUUUCUGGCAUUACUUGCCCUUACGAUAAUGACAAAACUUUUUAACACAGUCCACAAGGCCAGAGAUAGCCUGACCCUUGCUGAUCUGUCCAGCCUCUACUAUAUGUCCCCUUACUUUCUCUGUUCCAACCACAUUGGACUUUGUUCCUCUUACUAGUCAUGCUCCCCACCUAUUUGGUUCCCUAGUUAACUUCUCUUCAUCCUUCAGAUUUCAACUUGUGUCACUUCCUCCAGAAAGCCUACCCUUUCUUUCUUAACCAGGCCGAUAGGCUGUCAAAACCAGGAAUCUCUUCUUCGUAGCACUACAGUCAUACUCAUUGAUAUGUGUGAUUAUUAAUGUGGGUUUUUAAAAAAAUUAGAAUGAAACUCAAGAGCAGGGACCACAUCUAUUACUUGUGAUUAAUAUAUUCCUAGUGGUUAGCACAGUGUCUAGACAAAUAUAUGUUGAAUGAAUAAAUAGAAAACGGAGAGGAAAAAGGGAAGGAUUGACCCUCUGUGAGGCAGUCUUGCAAACAGCAGAAAUGCAAAGCAAAGCUGAAGAACUAACUAUUCAACACACACCUAGAGGAGCGUUGUAAUGUCUUGUGCCUGUCUCAAAUGGGUGCAUUCUUAUGGGUAAGUUUUACUAGUCCAGCUUUCACUGUAAUAGUUCACAUUCCUCUCCUACUGUCAGUCUCCAACAAAUCCCUCAGUAAUUCGUAAUCUCAUGCCAAGGAUGAGAGAGGGGCAUUAUCCAAAAAGUUGGGUGUGUCCGUUUUUUUUUGAGUCUCGCUCUGUUGCCCAGGCUGGAGUCCAGUGGCAUGGUCUUGGCUUACUGCAACCUCCGCCUCCCAGGUUCAAGUAAUUCUGCCUCAGCCUCCUGAGUAGCUGGGAUUACAGGCGCCUGCCACCUCGACCGGCUUUUUUGUUGUUGUUAUUUUUAGUAGAGACGGUGUUUCACCAUGUUGGUCAGGCUGGUCAUGAACUUGUGACCUUGUGAUCCGCCCGCCUUGGCCUUCCAAAGUGCUGGGAUUACAGGCGUGAGCCACUGUGCCCGGCUGUUCAUCUGUUUUUCAAUACCUUUAAGUUCAGUUUCCCUUACAAAGCCCACUUUUUUCUUAGUGGGAAUCUCUUGUACCACUUAACACCUACAUUCCUUAAUUUUUAAAGUUAAAACACUUAUAUACUAUAAAAUGGACACAUCUUAAGCAUACAGCUUGGUGAAGAUUUACAAAGUAAACAUGCCAGUUGAAACACCACUCUGAUCAGGAUGUGGAACAUAACCAGCACUCCAGAAAUCUCUCUGCCAUCAUUACCACCACUGGUUAUCCUAGCCACUCUUCUGACUUGUAUCACCAUAGAUAGGUUUUACUUGUUUUGAAGCCAUCUAUAAAUGGAAUCAUGGAAGUUUGGGCUUCCCUGAGAGCAGAUCUUCAGAGAAAAAAAACUUGAGUGCAGUAGUUUAUUUGGCGUUUGGCUCCAGGAUGCAGGAGUGGGAAAGAUGGUAGAGAGACAGAAGAAAAAUCAAUAGAAAGGUAUUACGGAGGUUGGAUAUAUAAUGCUUCCCAGAAUUGUCUGACUGAACAGGAGGCUGAAAUAUUUAUCCGCUGGCUCCUGUUUCCAAUUGAUUGAGGGAUGCCCCCAAGGAAGUUAACUUCACUGCAAUUCUGAGCUGUAAUUGACUUUAAUAAGCUCCAACAGCACUGAGAGACGUUUGGAUUAUUUUCAGUUUGGGAUAAUACUACUAUGAACAUUCCUGUACAUGUCCUUUGAGAACACGCAUGUGUACAUUUGUGAUGGGUAUGUAAUGGGGUGGAAUUGCUGGUUCAUAGAAUAUGUGCAUAUUCACCUUUAGAUAUAGAGGCUGCCAACCAUUUUUCUAAAGUGAUUAUACUAAUUUAUAUUCUCACUAUCUGUAAAUGAACAUUUCUGUUGCUCCACAUCCUUGCUGGCACUUGGUAUUGAUUGAUUUCUCUUUUAAUUUUAGGCUUUUUAAUACGUGUGUAGUGAUAUCUCACUUGCUGUUUAUUUGCUUUUUGGUAAAUUUUUUAUUGAAGUAUAAUUUACAUACAGAAAAUCACACAAAUUGUGUACAGGUGUGAUUUUUCACACCGUGAAUACAUGCAAAAACUAGUAUGAAAUUAAGAGUUGGAACAUCACCAGUACUCCAGAAGCCCCAUGCAUGUUCUCUUCCAGUUACUAUACCACUAUCCCAAGAAUGGUCUAUUAAUUCAACAGCAUAGAUUUAUUUUGCCUGUUUUUCAACUUCAAAUAAAUGAAAUAAUAUAUUAUGUACUCUUGUGUCUGGCUUCUUUGACUCAACAGUAUGUCUAUACAACUCAUCUGUAUUGUUGCAUGUUGUAGUUCGUUCAUUCAUACUGUUGUAUACAGUAUUGAAUUGUAUAAAUUACUCAUUCUGUUACUAUGCAUUUGGGCUGUUUCCAGUUUUGGCUAUUAUGAAUAAAGCUGCUAUGAACAUUCUAGAAUUGUCUUGUUGAACAUAUGUAUUUCUGCUGGGUAUAAAGCUUAAAAAGGAAAUUACUGGAAAAUAAGAGUAUUGCCUCAUGUUACCUACCUGCUAUUUUCACUGUAAUUUCAUCUAUUCUGGUUGAUGUGUAAUAGUGUCAUAUUAACAUUUUUUCUUUGCUUUUAUAAAAUAAAUGUUUUUAUGUUGGAA
rnacentral:sRNA from 1 species